AGGUAAUACUAAUAAACCAUUAUAUAAUGGCAGUCUUUAAUAAUUAAAGAAACUCGCUUUAGAAUCGUAAACACUCGCUAAAUCUAACUUAAUUCAUAAGCUUAUAUACCGCCGUCAAGAAUUUGCUUAAAACACAACUCAAUAAUUUAUAUGAACAAAAAUCAGGUCAAGGUGUAGCCAAUAAAUAAGAAAAAGUAAGUUACACUAAGCAAAACUUAAGAAAAUAAUAGUAAAACCCACAAUAGAAAUCGAAUUUAUAUGUACAGACUAAUUAACAACUAGCAUAGAAAUAAAACCUAAAGAUGC
rnacentral:rRNA from 1 species